AUGUUGACCAGAAGGAUUAAGCUGUGGGACACUAAGGCCCACAUCACCUGCCGCCUGUGUAGUGGGCACCUCAUUGAUGCAACCAGGGUGACCAAGUGUCUGCACACAUUCUGUAGGGGUUGCCUGGUAAAGUAUUUGUAAGAGAACAACACCUGCCCUGCAUGUAGGACUGUGAUGCGUCACACUCACUCACUGCAGUACAUCGGUCAUGAGAGCACCAUACAUGAGACUGUUUACAAAUUGGUAUCAGGUCUCCAAGAAGCAGAAAUGAAAACAGAGAAUUCUGUCACAAAUUGGGCAUGGAAGUGCCUAGAGACAUCAAAGGGGAUACUUGUUCCACAAAACAACACUUAGAUUUCCAUCAGAAUGGUGAAAUGAAAGCAGAAGACAGUUCAAACAAAGACCAAAAAAGAGAAAAAGGAAAAGGACAAUGAUUUUCACAGAAGUGAUGAGCAGGAAAGCAACAGCAGCAAGUUGUGGGGACUGAAAAGGAAAUGAAUCUGCUGCAUAGCCCAAGCAAUGGUCUGACAUCUAAAGAAGUUCACUGCCAAAAAUCUUAACCUUUUGUCCUUCAAUGAGGUAAUAGUCAA
rnacentral:lncRNA from 1 species